GGAAUCUUGAAGUUCAGUUAUCUUGGGUGAUUCUUUGUCUGGCAAUGUCUGUCUAUGACAAAAGCGACAUCUGGUAUGUUGAAUUUCUCACUGUGCUAUCUAAAGUAUGUUAUAAAGUACAAAUACUUCAUCAAACGAUGAUUAAUUAAAAUUGAUGUAGUUAACUUCAUUGUCACGCUUCGCUUGUGAAUGUAUUACUAAGCGAUUUUCGCUUCAUAGUAUUUAUUGGUGCCGUGGGUUGCAAAUGUAAAGGUCCAUACACACCGGACGCGAUUCGACAACGCGACGCGAUUUUUCGAUUUUCACUGACCGAUAACUUUGAUCCUAGUUAAAAUUUUCCAAAUAUUUGAAAGCGCUAUAACAUUUUGAGUUAUUUGGUCUACAUAUCUUUCAAAAUUUCC